UCUGAGAGUAACUGUUCAGGUAUUGACGGUAUUUAACCAGAAAGCCACGGCUAACUACGUGCCAGCAGCCGCGGUAAUACGUAGGUGGCAAGCGUUGUCCGGAUUUAUUGGGCGUAAAGCGAGCGCAGGCGGUUUUUUAAGUCUGAUGUGAAAGCCUUCGGCUCAACCGAAGAAGUGCAUCGGAAACUGGGAAACUUGAGUGCAGAAGAGGACAGUGGAACUCCAUGUGUAGCGGUGAAAUGCGUAGAUAUAUGGAAGAACACCAGUGGCGAAGGCGGCUGUCUGGUCUGUAACUGACGCUGAGGCUCGAAAGUAUGGGUAGCAAACAGGAUUAGAUA
rnacentral:rRNA from 1 species